AACGAACGCUGGCGGCAUGCCUAACACAUGCAAGUCGAACGAGACCUUCGGGUCUAGUGGCGCACGGGUGCGUAACGCGUGGGAACCUGCCCUUAGGCUCGGAAUAACUCCCCGAAAGGGGUGCUAAUACCGGAUAAUGUCUUCGGACCAAAGAUUUAUCGCCUUUGGAUGGGCCCGCGUUGGAUUAGCUAGUUGGUAGGGUAAAAGCCUACCAAGGCGUCGAUGCAUAGCUGGGUUGAGAGGAAGGUCAGCCACACUGGGACUGGGACACGGCCGAGACUCCUACGGGAGGCAGCAGUGGGGAAUAUAGGACAAUGGGCGAAAGCCUGAUCCAGCAAGGCCGCGUGAGUGAUGAAGGCCUUAGGGUUGUAAAGCUCUUUUACCCGGGAUGAUAAUGACAGUACCGGGAGAAUAAGCUCCGGCUAACUCCGUG
rnacentral:rRNA from 1 species